rnacentral:lncRNA from 1 species
ACCCACACUUGCAGUCACUAUCUACUUGCCUGUCCUUGCAGUUGGAAGCCAUAUACAGUGCAUGACAAAGCUGUACAAACCAUACAGGUAGCAAACAGCUCUGUUGUGUGCUGCCAGCUCUACACAUCCGGUUCAGACCAGUUGUUGCAGUUGAAUUGAAGCACAGGCCGGUAGCACACUUGGCUUUGUGCAAGAUAACACACUCCUUACUCCGUAGUUUUCCAAGAGACAUGGUUCGGCUCUACCAUCUGUCCGUCCUCCUCGUCGCCAGCCUCGUGGCGGCUACCGCCAUGGCUGCCGAUCUACCAGGGGGGAAGAAGGUGACCAUCACCAUGAGGCCGGUACGCGGCGGUGACCGAUACGCCGGGGAAGAAGAUCAGGAUCACAGUGCACUACGCAGACGACGACCGCGGCAGUAACGACCAGUUCCAGCUCGACUCUGACGACGACGAGCCGUAUGAUGAUUGAUGUCUCCUCUCCUCCCUUCCUGUCCCAUCCUCACAAGACAUAUAGACCCAUAUGAGCUCGAGCUAGAGAGCUUGUUGCAACGACUCGUCGAGCUAGCUAGCUAGCGAGCCUGAACCUCCAUUGUUGGUUCAUCAGUUCUCUUUUUUAUGAUUUGUUUUGCAGCCUCGGUUUGGCCGUGCAAUACCUUCUGACCACUCUGGAGAAGCAGCGUGACUAUGAGAAGGCGUCUAGGUCUGAGGUAACAAAGAUUCUGGUCGGCCUGUUGUUAAGUUCUUGCUGCUAUUACUGAUUGAUUCAGAACACACUUAUUGAUCAGUUGGUAACUUGGCCUGCUGGUUCAUUCUUUCUCCAGCUCUAGGAUGGAGGGAAUCAAGGUGGGGAUGGCAUGCCCAGUGCCAAAUAAAGUGAUUUAUUGGAGAUCGAGCCUCUGAUCAUUGUUUGGGAAGAUUAGGCGCCUUUUGGAUUUUCAAGUUUCAAGUUUCAUGUCUUGUUUCUGUUAUCAGCAAGUGCCCAGUAGAAGUGGCAGUGUUUUUAAACAUUUAGUAGGAUCUUCACACACACACACACAAAGGUAGGAUCUUGUUUGGACUGUAGUGGUACUGUGGUGAUGUGUUUUUCCGCAUAUCUGUCUCUCUUAAUUUCCUUCUCUAGAACAUGCUUACGAAGAGAAUUAAAACAAGGCCUUGUUUAGUUCCGAAAAGUGAAAAGUUUUCGGUACUGUAGCACUUUUGUUUGUUUGUGAAAAAUAUUAUCCAAUCAUGGAUUAACUAGUAUCAAAAGAUUCGUCUCGUGAUUUACAGCUAAACUGUGUAAUUAGUUUUUGUUUUCGUCUAUAUUUAAUGUUUCAUGCAUGUGCCAC